GAAAUAUAAACAAAAAGUUAGAAAAAAUGAAUAGGUUAGGUAUAGAACAACAUAGGAAACACCGAAUAAACAAUUAUAUGAAAAGAAAUAAAUACAAAAGAAGUAUUUUAAUUAAAAAAAAUGAAAAAAAUGAAAAAAAUGAAAAUAAUGAAAAAAAUGAAAAUAAUGAAAAAAAUGAAAAUAAUGAAAAAAAUGAAAAUAAUGAAAAUAAUGAAAAUAAUGAAAAUAAUGAAAAUAAUGAAAAAAACGUUUUUGGUAAGCUUGAGUAUGACAAAAGGUGUUACAGUUACAGUGAUGACGAAACAAAAAUGAAACAGUAUAAUGACUUUUUUUUUGAUAUAAAUGAAAAUAACAAACACAGUAAUAAUAACAUUGAAGACACUAAUACGGAUAAAGUUGUUUCUCUAAGUACUGAUAAAAGUAGUGUUACAAAAAAAAAACAUUUAAAAACAAAUAAAAUUAAUUCAUUUCAUCCGAAACAAAUAUCUUGUGGUAAAUAUCAUUCAGGAGCGAUCAGUAAAAAUGGGUUUGUUUGUUUGUGGGGUUUAAACUGUUAUGGACAACUGGGAAUAAAUCCUAAUACGUCUAUUCAUACAUGUUAUAAAAAAACAAAAUUCAAAAAAUCAAAAUUUAAAACAUUAAAAAGAAAACUUUCAAAAGAGGAGUCAACAAAUGAAAAAUCAUAUUUUUUAAAAAAACUAUUUUAUACAAAAAACGAAAAAAACACAAUAUUAUCUCCAUAUAUAUAUAAAUUAAUCCCUUUAAAACAUUUUGGAUAUAAACAUAAAAUUAAAAAUAUAAGUUUAGGUGCAUUUCACACAUUAUUGUUAACUUAUGAAGGUAAUGUAUUUACGUUUGGUUGUAAUAAAAAGUCACAAUUAGGCUUACCUAAUUAUUAUGAUAAAAAAAUUCCUUAUACUAGUAAACCAUUCAUGAUUCCUGUAAAAAAUUGUUUGAAUAAACGAACAGAAAAUAGUUGUAAAAUGACUAAUUGGAAAAAGGAAAGCAGUGGUAGUGAAAGUAAUAGUAAUUCAUACGAUGGAAGAGGUAAUAAAAAAGAAAAUUUAUUUUUUUCAAGUAAAUCGGAAUAUCCUAACAUCGCGCAUCCAAUAAUGUAUAUAACAUGUGGUGCUUAUACGAGUGCAGUUAUUGACGCUAAUAGAAAGUUGUGGGUGUGGGGUUGGAAUAAAUAUGGACAAGU
rnacentral:lncRNA from 1 species